rnacentral:rRNA from 1 species
UACGUAGGUGGCGAGCGUUGUCCGGAUUUACUGGGCGUAAAGAGCGCGCAGGCGGUCGUACAAGUCGCGUGUGAAAGCCCCUGGCUCAACUGGGGAGGGUCACGCGAUACUGUUCGACUUGAAGGCAGGAGAGGGAAGUGGAAUUCCCGGUGUAGUGGUGAAAUGCGUAGAUAUCGGGAGGAACACCAGUGGCGAAGGCGGGUCUCUGGGCAAUUCCUGACGCUGAGGCGCGAAAGCGUGGGGAGCAAACGGG